UAAGAUCUAUAUAAGCUUCUUCUUUUGGAAGUAGUUCUUCAAAUGCCACAGCUGGAAAACUGAAACCACGAUGCAGACACCAAGAGACAUGAUGCUCAACCACGCCACUCUGGCAUUAGUUCUUUCACUGACUUCCCUCAUCUCUGCUUCCCUUUCCCUGAGAUAGAUUAGAUUAUUGUGAAUCGAUUGAACUGUUCCUUCAAGUCUCCUUAGGUCAAGUUCAACGCCCUCAAUUUUUUCUUUCCUUGCUACUGAUUCCCAGUCCUUGGCAGCAAUUCCAAUUCUCCAGUCAAGGCUCAAAGUUGUUGUUCCAGCUUGUUGCUGAUGGCUAUCCAACCAGAAACAUGCCAUGUAGUUACCAGCCUCUGAUGUUGUAAAUGCAAACUGACCAUGAGUUACAUUUUCAUUGUGGUGAAGAUUGUUCCCAUAUGGAGAUGUCACCCGAGCAGAGACAUUUGGGGUGUGUUCUGGCCGAUCCUCGUUAAUAACAUAAUAAUCAGCGAGAACGACAACGUUGUUCUGGAUCUCCUCCGAAACACACUUGGUUCCCGAACUAGGAAUCGAUAACCAUAUAGCUUCUGCUACAGGUACUAGAUUAAGAUUACCAAAGGUUGAACAUAACAGGAUUAGAGACAACCCCGCCGUUCGAACGCGCAAGUUAGAGUUUUCCGCCAUAAAAGAACAAAGAAACCAGACAGAGACGGUUCGAACAAGUUAGAUCUCGAGCUGGUUCUUUUUGGCUCUGCUCUUGUGCGUAUAGUUGAGGGAAUUAGGAUUCGGAGUUGUUUUUCACGGUCUGCAAAUCUACUAGCAGUUUAGCGCGUGCGAUUUGGACUCGAUUAGGCGGGUGUAAUGCAG
rnacentral:misc_RNA from 1 species